CCUACGUGAGGCAGCAGUGGGGGAUAUUGCACAAUGGGGGGAACCCUGAUGCAGCGACGCCGCGUGGGUGAAGGAGCGUUUCGGCGCGUAAAGCCCUAUCGGCAGGGAAGAAGGAGGACGGUACCUGACUAAGAAGCCCCAGCUAACUACGUGCCAGCAGCCGCUGUAAUACGUAGGGGGCAAGCGUUAUCCGGAUGUACUGGGUGUAAAGGGGGCGCAGACGGCAGCGCAAGCCAGGAGUGAAGGCCCGGGGCCGAACCCCGGGACUGCUCUUGGAACUGCGCGGCGGGAGUGCAGGAGGGGCAGGCGGAAUUCCUGGUGUAGCGGUGCAAUGCGUAGAUAUCAGGAGGAACACCGGUGGCGAAGGCGGCCUGCUGGACUGCGACUGACGUUGAGGCCCGAAAGCGUGGGGAGCAAACAGGAUUAGAUACCCCUGUAGUC
rnacentral:rRNA from 1 species